GAUGAAGAACGUAGCGAAAUGCGAUACUUGGUGUGAAUUGCAGAAUCCCGUGAACCAUCGAGUCUUUGAACGCAAGUUGCGCCCGAAGCCAUUAGGCCGAGGGCACGCCUGCCUGGGCGUCACACGUCGUUGCCCCCCCAUCUACUCCUUCGGGAUUGCGGGGGGCGGAUGAUGGCCUCCCGUGCGCCUCGUCGCGCGGUUGGCCUAAAUGCCAAGUCCUCGGCGACGCACGCCACGACAAUCGGUGGUUGCGAAACCUCGGUUGCCCGUCGUGUGCGGUCGUUGCGCAUCGAGGGCUCGAAAAAAUUGCCGGGCUUCGGCUCGACUUUCAACGCGACCCCAGGUCAGGCGGGGUUACCCGCUGAAUUUAAGCAUAUCAAUAAGCGGAGGA
rnacentral:misc_RNA from 1 species